ensembl:rRNA 5S_rRNA 5S ribosomal RNA
GGUGGUACUGCUCCCACCCUGGACGUGCCUGAUCUCAUUCGAUCUUGGAAGCUAAGCAGGGUCGGGCCUGGUUAGUACUUGGAUGGGAGACCUCACAUACCCAGCAUAAAAUCUACCAUCC